UACAGAGGUCUCAAGCGUUGUUCGGAUUCAUUGGGCGUAAAGGGUGCGUAGGUGGCGCGUUAAGUCAGGUGUGAAAUUUCGGAGCUUAACUCCGAAACUGCAUUUGAUACUGGCGUGCUUGAGGACUGGAGAGGAGACUGGAAUUCAUGGUGUAGCAGUGAAAUGCGUAGAGAUCAUGAGGAAGACCAGUGGCGAAGGCGGGGUCUCUGGACAGUUCCUGACACUGAGGCACGAAGGCCAGGGGAGCAAACGGG
rnacentral:rRNA from 1 species